GACGAACGCUGGCGGCGUGCUUAACACAUGCAAGUCGAACGGUGACCCUCGGAGCUUGCUUCGGGGUGAGCAGUGGCGAACGGGUGAGUAACACGUGAGUAACCUGCCCCUGACUCUGGAAUAAGCGCUGGAAACGGCGUCUAAUACCGGAUACGACACGCCGCCGCAUGGGGAGCGUGUGGAAAGUUUUUCGGUCUGGGAUGGACUCGCGGCCUAUCAGCUUGUUGGUGAGGUCAUGGCUCACCAAGGGGAUGACGGGUAGCCGGCCUGCGGGGGGGACCGGCCACACUGGGACUGAGACACGGCCCAGACUCCUACGGGAGGCAGCAGUGGGGAAUAUUGCACAAUGGGCGAAAGCCUGAUGAAGCGACGCCGCGUGAGGGAUGACGGCCUUCGGGUUGUAAACCUCUUUCAGCAGGGAAGAAGCGAAAGUGACGGUACCUGCAGAAGAAGCACCGGCUAACUACGUGCCAGCCGCCGCCGUAA
rnacentral:rRNA from 1 species